rnacentral:rRNA from 1 species
UACGUAGGGGGCUAGCGUUGUCCGGAUUUAUUGGGCGUAAAGAGCGUGUAGGCGGCCAGGUAGGUCUGCUGUGAAAACUCGAGGCUUAACCUCGAGAUGUCGGUGGAAACCAUCUGGCUAGAGUCCGGAAGAGGAGAGUGGGAAUUCCUGGUGUAGCGGUGAAAUGCGCAGAUAUCAGGAAGAACACCCGUGGCGAAGGCGGCUCUCUGGGACGGUACUGACGCUGAGACGGCGAAAGCGUGGGGAGCGAACAGG